AUUGAACGCUGGCGGCAUGCCUUACACAUGCAAGUCGAACGGCAGCACGGGUGCUUGCCCCUGGUGGCGAGUGGCGCACGGGUGAGUAAUACAUCGGGACAUGUCCUGUAGUGGGGGAUAGCCCGGCGAAAGCCGGAUUAAUACCGCAUACUAUCUACGGAUAAAAGCGGGUGCCCUACUGGCCUCGCGCUUUGGGGUUGCCCGAUGGCUGAUUAGCUAGUUGGUGGGGUAAAGGCCUACCAAGGCCACGAUCAGUAGCUGGUCUGAGAGGACGACCAGCCACACUGGAACUGAGACACGGCCCAGACUCCUACGGGAGGCAGCAGUGGGGAAUUUUGGACAAUGGGCGAAAGCCUGAUCCAGCAAUGCCGCGUGUGUGAAGAAGGCCUUCGGGUUGUAAAGCACUUUUGUCCGGAAAGAAAUCCUUGGCUCUAAUACAGUCGGGGGAUGACGGUACCGGAAGAAUAAGCACCGGCUAACUACGUG
rnacentral:rRNA from 1 species